rnacentral:tRNA from 1 species
ACUUUGAUAGCUUAAACUUAGAGCAUGGCACUGAAGAUGCUAAGGUAACAAUUCUGUUUCAAGGUG